CUGCAUUUGUCAUUGUGGCCCAGAUGGCGUGGAAGUUUCUUCCAUUGACGAUGGAGUUUUCCUGCCGACAUAUUUCCAAUCAGCCUCUGUCGAAUCAGGUGGAGAGCCAAAGGCUCUUAGACUCUUUGUUUUGUUGCUUACCUGCAGCAGCUUCCACAAAUCUUGAUCGAGCCUCCGCCGCUGAUGGUAUGAUGUUUUAAUUUCGGUUUCUCCGGAGUGUGUUUGAACGAUACGACAAGACCAAUAAAUUGGUCGCUUAAUGGCCGUAUCACCUUGCCCAGAGAUCAUAUGAUAAAUUGGUGUAG
rnacentral:sRNA from 2 species